rnacentral:rRNA from 1 species
UAGCUAGUUGGUGGGGUAAGGGCCUACCAAGGCGACGAUCGUUAGCUGGUCUGAGAGGAUGGCCAGCCACACUGGAACUGAGACACGGUCCAGACUCCUACGGGAGGCAGCAGUGGGGAAUAUUGGACAAUGGGGGCAACCCUGAUCCAGCAAUGCCGCGUGUGUGAAGAAGGCCUGAGGGUUGUAAAGCACUUUCAGUGGGGAGGAGGGUUAUUAGGUUAAGAGCUAGAUAAUUGGACGUUACCCACAGAAGAAGCACCGGCUAACUCCGUGCCAGCAGCCGCGGUAAUACGGAGGGUGCGAGCGUUAAUCGGAAUUACUGGGCGUAAAGAGUGCGUAGGUGGUUGUAUAAGUUAUCUGUGAAAUCCCUGGGCUCAACCUGGGCAGGUCAGAUAAUACUGUAUAACUCGAGUAUGGGAGAGGGUAGUGGAAUUUCCGGUGUAGCGGUGAAAUGCGUAGAGAUCGGAAGGAACACCAGUGGCGAAGGCGGCUACCUGGCCUAAUACUGACACUGAGGCACGAAAGCGUGGGGAGCAAACAGGAUUAGAUACCCUGGUAGUCCACGCUGUAAACGAUGUCAACUAGCUGUUGGAUAUAUGAAUAUAUUUAGUGGCGC